rnacentral:lncRNA from 1 species
GAAGGCUAUGAAUAUGAAGAUGUCAUACUCUGCCUUGCUAGUUUUGUUCCUUUCGCUUACCUUCUUCACCCCUUCGACGCUUGCUUGGUUGUGGCCAUGGUAUUCUCCUUUGCGACCUCCUUCUUGUCCUGAUGGUGGUUGUAGGAUACCACGGCUACUCCCUACUUAUAAGCCCCCACCAUUGUAUAGAUCUACUUCCAAGGGGAAACCACUCCCUACUUAUAAGCCCCCACCAUUGUAUAGAUCUACUUCCAAGGGGAAACCUUAAGAUCGAUCAAUGUCCCUAUAGUACUCUUUGCAGCAGCAGCAGCAGAAUGUGUCUACCUCAUCUUCAGUUAGUGUGCUUAUUAGAAUAAUUUAACUUUCUCAAAUGCAUUAGUGAAUAUCGUGAUGUGUCUUAAGCUUGUAUCUGGAUGUGGCUGAUUUAUAAUAAAAUUUAAAAGGAAAAAAAAAAUAACGGACAGGACACAUAUAAGGGUUCCUUAUAAUUUCACAAUCGUCCUUUGCUUGUUUUUCUGUUUUAUUCAUAUUUCUCUUAUUUUGUACUUGUUUAUUAUGGCUUUACAUUGGUAAUCAAUAAAGUAUUAUAUCUA